UACGUAGGUGGCAAGCGUUGUCCGGAUUUACUGGGCGUAAAGGGCGUGCAGGCGGUCUGUUAAGUGCAGGGUGAAAGCUCCCGGCUCAACUGGGAGAGGUCCUUGCAUACUGGCGGACUUGAGGGGGGUAGAGGAAAGUGGAAUUCCCGGUGUAGUGGUGAUAUGCGUAGAUAUCUGGAGGAACACCGGUGGCGAAGGCGGCGUUCUGGGACUGCAACUGACACUGAAAAACGAAAGCCAGGGGAGCAAACGGG
rnacentral:rRNA from 1 species